AGAGUUUGAUCAUGGCUCAGGAUGAACGCUAGCUGGAGGCUUAAUACAUGCAAGUCGAGCGGGAUUGGUAGCAAUACCAUGAGAGCGGCGCACGGGUGAGUAACGCGUACACGACCUACCUCUGACAGGGGGAUAGCCCUGGGAAACUGGGAUUAAUACCGCAUAUUAUUCUGAUUAAUAAAGGAUUGGAAUGAAAGUUCAGGCGGUCAGAGAUGGGUGUGCGUCUGAUUAGCUAGUUGGUAGGGUAACGGCCUACCAAGGCGAUGAUCAGUAGGGGGCGUGAGAGCGUGAUCCCCCACACGGGUACUGAGACACGGACCCGACUCCUACGGGAGGCAGCAGUAAGGAAUAUUGGACAAUGGCCGCAAGGCUGAUCCAGCCAUCCAGCGUGCAGGAAGAAGGCCCUAUGGGUUGUAAACUGCUUUUAUCAGGGAAUAAACCUCUGGAUUCACUCCGGAGCUGAAGGUACCUAAGAAUAAG
rnacentral:rRNA from 1 species